GAGAGAAAGGAAAGAGAGAGAGAGGGAGAGGGGGGAGACGAACGGUGGAAGGUAUACUUGCCUUUGUGCGAAGACAGUGGCCUUAGCUGUCAAGUGCAGCUACUCUCUGGUCACGCUAAUGAAGGGCGGUGCGUGCUGUGCAAUGCGUGUUGUCCGAAAUGCGUGGAGCCAUCUGCCAUCGGCCUCUCAUCGCGGCGUUAUGCUUCUUUAUUGUUAGGAGGUGCUCGGAGGUGAGCCCUUAUUUACGUUCUCGAUGGUUGCCGACGAGUGAGAGAAAGAGAGAGAGAGGUGCGAGGAAAGAAACAAAAAAGAAACUUCUCGAACGGAAACGCGACGCCAAGUGCUGUACUCGUGUCGUGUCGUGCGACAGACGCAUCUAACAUUUUAAUUUCGAUAUAACAAAUUGUAUAUACUUGGUGUGAUAUUUCGCUCGCGAGUGAGACGCAAGCCUUUCCUCGAUAUAUCGCGCAUGUACAUCUCGCCGAGAUCGUUUCUGUGCAUUUUUUAAAGUCGAUCUCUGCAAGUUUUAUGUUAACGUGAACGCACUUAUCUGCACUAUUAUUCGAUUUAAUUAUUUGAUCUUUAAAAACCUGUAAGGCUGCAUCUACAAAGUGUAGUAAGCUUUAAGUAAAGAAGUUGACCAAUCAUAAUCGAAUACUCAGAAGAAUAAUCAGUUAUGAUUCGUUAAUUUCUCACGGCUUAAAGCUUAUUACACCUAUUGUAAACUCAACCUAAAGGAAGUUAAACAUGAGUACAGUUUCGAAUAGCAAUAUAGUUUAACGUGAUAUAAUUUGUGGAUGUUGAGAAAAUAACUGCAAAGUUAACACACCGCUUUAUGUCUUGUAGCUCGCGCGGAAUUUUCCACUUAAGCCAUUUGAUGCCUUUAAAACGAGAUCACUCAAAUCAAAAUGUUCUUAUAAUAAUUAUGAAAUAUGUUAUCUGGCAAAUAAAAUUUGGCUUAUAACAUGGAUAAGUCACGCAAGAUUAAGCUGGCAUGGAAUAUGUUAAUAUAUAAGGGGUACAGGACAAUGAUCGACAUGUCGGUGCCUGGACUCAAGCAUAGCUGGUAGUACUACAUUAACACUGGCUUGCUACCAGCAGGGCACACACCCUGAUCAUACCUUUUGCAUUUCCUACCCUAGACCUGCAUACGCACUGACGCACACGCCAAGCGUGUGCGCAUGUGCUCUGUCAGCUGUCGCAUACACACCAUGAAAUUCCUGGGACUUGUGUCAUCUCCCAAAUCACCCACAGUGACAUCUCCACAAGCGCUGCUGUCAUUCUUUCAUCGAUUGUCUUUCUCAUCCAUGUCCAUUGCCACAUGGUUCCUGGUUAUACUAGCAACUGCAGCGAUAGACACUCCUGCCAGCACUGUCGCACCGAUACAAGACAAUAGAUUUCCUCAUAUAGUAGCGCAGUUUCCUGUGGGAAAUGAACAGCGAUAUGGACAUCUCCACUUGGAUACCAAUACAACCAGAGAAGGAGCUCUGAGAUUCAAUCAUCUUACUAUAGAUCCUACUACAGGAAGGCUCUAUGCAGGAGCUGUCAACAGACUCUUUCAGCUUGACUCAAGUCUUAAGCUGGAAGAACAUGUCUCGACAGGUCCAAGACUGGAUAAUCCUCAGUGUCAUGCAACAGGUUGCAUGUCAAGAGAGAUAACAACCUCCUUGAUGGAUAAUGUGAACAAAUUGCUAAUCGCCGAUCUCGAAUCACAGACGAUAGUCGCAUGUGGCUCUCUUCUUCAAGGUGCUUGCGAAAAGUACAAAAUGACCAACAUAUCCAUUAAACCGGAAUUCAUCCCCCUCAGCGUGGCGGCUAACGAUGAGAACUCCUCCACGUACGCCUUCAUCGGCCCCGAGAAAUACAAUCCGUGGGGACAAACGAACAUACUCUAUGUAGGCACGACAUUCACCAACAAAGGCGAUUACCGUCAUGAUGUACCAGCGAUUUCCAGCAGAAAUCUCGGUACGCUGGAAUUCGCCGAGUAUACGUUCAACAAGCAGUCAAUCGUAUACAUCGACGUCAAGUAUCGGGAUCACUUUCUGGUGAAGUACGUGUACGGCUUCAACGCGAGUGACUACGCGUACUUCGUCCUAGUGCAGAAACAGUCGUAUCUGCCCGAGCAAGAGGAGCUGGGGUACAUCUCCAGGUUGGCGCGUAGUUGCAUCAGCGAUCCGAACUACGACAGCUACACGGAAGUGACGCUGCAGUGUGCGGUUGAUACGGGGGACGGCAAGCAGCACUACUACAACUUGGUGCAGGACGCGAAGGUCGCGGUAGCCGGCAGCGACUUGGCCAUGCAACUCGGCAUCUCCGUGGGUGAUCCCAUCUUCGUCUCUGUAUUCUCGCCCAGCAGGGGCAUCACAAACGAGCCACUGUCGCGCUCGGCGGUCUGUGUCUACAGUUUGCAAGACAUCGAAACCAAGUUCAACGAAAAUAUCCACAUGUGUUUCAACGGCAGCAUUAAGUAUCGGAAUAUGGGCUACGUCAGCGGCCCCAUACAAGACGGGAAGUGUCCGACUGCUGGCACCACAGGUAACAUCUUGAACUUCUGCGAGGUGGGACUGAAGAUCUCGGGUGUAUCGCCGAUCACGGGCCAAGCCAUUUUGCAUUUUUCCGACACAUUCAUCACCUCGGUGACCAUUGCCAAUACUGAGAGCCAUACCGUGGCGUUUUUCGGCACAAAUGACGGCAUUCUGAAGAAGGUCUUAUUGUCCGGAACCGAAGCGUUCGUCUAUGAGAGUGUUACAAUUGACAAGGGACAAAAGUUGUUACCGGACACAUUGAUCUCACCGGAUGACGAAUAUAUCUACGUACUAUCUGCCUCGAAAAUAUCGAAGGUCAAAGUGGAACAUUGCAGUAGUUAUACCAAUUGCAGCAGCUGCCUCGACGCGAAAGAUCCUUACUGUGGUUGGUGCUCCUUGGAGAAGAGAUGUACAGUGAGAGGAGACUGCCAGAAAGCGAGUCACAGCAGUCCGCGAUGGUUGUCGUUAGGCACGGGUCAACAGUGCAUCGAUUUCGAGCAAGUUCUACCCGAUCGUAUGCCCAUUAAUCAAAUGACCACGGUGCAAUUAACAAUUAGAACUCUACCCGAGUUGCCGGCGGGCGCUAAUUACAAAUGCGUUUUUGGCAACGCCGAGCCGAUAGACGCGCUGAUGACCGGUUUUGGGCUAUCUUGCCCUACACCACCUAUCAUGGAAAGACCCAGCAUUCCUGAGGGCGUCGAUCACGCAUUGGUGCCACUGUCCGUACGCUCGAGCGAGACAAACAAGGAUUUCGUCUCGCGCAACUUCGCAUUCUUCGAUUGUUCAAGGCACACCGUGUGCACCGAAUGCGUCAAGUCGCAGUGGGCAUGCAGCUGGUGUGUUUACGACAACAAGUGCACCCACAACACUAGUUGUCAGGGUAUUAUAUCAGGAGAAAAUCAAAAUCAGGGUAAUCUCGCUGCGCACGGCGCGCAAUACUGUCCGCGAUUCACGGAACGUAAGGAGCCGUUGAUGCUGCCGAACAGCGUGCCCAAGGAGAUCGUGCUCGAGGUGGAAAAUCUGCCGCACCCGCAGGUUGGUCACAGCGGGUUCCAGUGCAUUGUUAGCAUCGAGGGCGCGAAUCUGAAGGUACAGGCUCGCGUGGACAGCAGCCGUUUCAUAGUGUGCGACAAGACGGUCUACUCGUACGAGGCGGUCACUGGGGAAUACGAGGCCGAGGUUACGGUCGUCUGGAACACUAAUCACCACGUGGACAAGACUACGAUCAUUCUAUACAAGUGCGAGGUGCUCGGCUCGCAUCGCGAACACGCGGACUGUUCCCUAUGCGUGACGCGAGACGCUCGUUUCGAGUGCACUUGGUGCGGGAACAGUUGCGUGUACAGGCACUCGUGUCUGCAGUCACCGUUCACCGAGUGCCCGAAGCCCCGGAUAGACAUGAUCAAGCCGCUGAGCGGGCCAAUCGAGGGCGGUACGUUAGUAACGAUUGAGGGCAGUAAUCUCGGAUUGAAGGAGAGCGACGUGGACGGUAAGAUACACAUCGGUAAUACACCGUGCAACCUGGUAGACUACGAGGUGUCGGUGCGUAUCGUCUGCCGCACCGGCCGGCACGAGGCCACGGAUGCUGCCUCGGUCGUCGUUGGCAACGACGCCGGAUACACGGAGAGCGCGGUGCUAUUCAACUACAAGGACAUACGUCUGUCGGGUCUGUAUCCGUCGGUUGGGCCGCAAAGUGGCGGCACGCAAUUAGCCAUCACCGGUAAGUACUUGAACAUCGGCAGCACCAUAUCGGCGUACCUGGACGAGCUACCGUGCCAUGUGAACGCGACCCAAGCGAGCAGUACGAGACUGACGUGCGUGACUAGCAAGUCGGGCCAUGUCCGGCGGAUUCACAGACUAACGUUGAGCAUCGACGGCGCGAAUCGCACCCUCGUGGAUAAUCCGUACAAUUACACUCACGACCCGACUAUCAUGGAGAUCAAGCCGCUCAGAAGCUUCGCUUCGGGCGGUCGCAUGAUCACCGUGCACGGCACGAACUUGGACACUAUUCAGAAGCCAGAGAUGGAAGUAUACUUCGACAACGAGCCGUUGCCGGUGAACAGGACUGUCUGCACUGUCCUGAAUCCGACUCAGAUGGAGUGUCCAAGCCCGAGCGUUGCCAAGAGAUUCACGUCGAUCCGACGUCGCAGAAAACGCUCGAUGGUCAACACCCAAGCGCCUCAGUCGUCGAAAUUGAAGGACUCCCAGCUGGCGUUCAAGAUCGCCUUCAUCAUGGACAACGUGGAGAGCGUGAGAGACCUGGAGAAGCACUUUCAGAACCUGCGUAACCGUCUGCUUUACGUCGACGAUCCGAAAUUCUUCCCGUUUCCGCGCAAUAUCAAGCUGUACAAGGGCGACACCUUGGUGAUCGAGGGUGAGAAUCUCAAUUACGCCAGCGACGAGUCCGACGUAAACGUCACUGUUGGCACUAUGCCUUGCAACGUCACCUCGCUCGCGCUCACACAGCUUGUGUGCACUCCGCCGGAUCAGCAGCCUGCCGACACGGACGAGCUCGGGAUCAAGACCGAGAGUGGACUGCCCUUGGUGGUGGUGCGGGUCGGUCGCAGUCUCCGCUUUCCCAUCGGCUUCCUGCGCUACGAGGUCAUCAAGUCCUACCCGAUCCCGCCGGAAGCCAUCGCGGGCAUCGCCGCCGGCACGUUCGGUCUCAUAUUUCUAUUCGUGCUGGUGCUGGUGAUUUAUCGUAGGAAGAGCACGCAAGCUGAGCGAGAAUACAAGCGGAUACAGAUACAGAUGGACACGCUCGAGAGCAACGUGCGGAUGGAGUGCAAGCAGGCGUUCGCCGAGCUGCAGACAGACAUGACCGACUUGACCGCGGAUCUCGAGUCGUCAGGCAUACCCACUCUGGAUCACAAGAGCUACAUCAUGAAAGUGUUCUUCCCUGGUGUAAUAGACCAUCCUAUAUUGAAUGAUCCGCGCUCACGUAGCAACGUCUCGCGGACCAACUACGACGCGGCGAUGAUACAGUUCGAGCAGCUCGUCAACAACAAGUACUUCGUACUGACUUUCAUUGAGACCUUAGAGGCGCAGAAGGAUUUUAAUAUUAGGGACAAGGUGAACGUCGCCUCCUUGCUCAUGGUCGUUUUAAUGGGCAAGAUGGAGUACGCCACCGACAUACUCAUGAAUCUUUUAUUAAGACUGAUCGAUAAAGCGGUGAACACGAAGCAUCCGCAGCUUAUGUUAAGGAGAACGGAAUCCGUGGUGGAGAAGAUGCUCACGAAUUGGAUGGCGCUCUGCAUGUACAAUUAUCUGAAGGAUUACGCCGGCUCGUCCUUAUUCCUCCUGUUCAAGGCGAUCAAGCAUCAGAUUGAAAAGGGACCCGUCGACGUGAUAACGCACGACGCCAGAUACUCGCUCUCGGAGGAGAGGCUGCUGCGCGAGCAGAUCGAGCAUACGAUCGUCACGCUGCACGUCGUGCAGGACGAUCUCGACGAGAAAAUACAAUGCAAGGUCUUAGAUUGUGAUACGAUUAGUCAGGUGAAGUCGAAAAUCCUCGACGCGCUGUACAAGAAUACCCCGUUUUCGGUAAGGCCGUCCGUACACGACGUCGAUUUGGAAUGGAGGCAUGGUCGGGGCGGUCACCUGACGCUGCAGGACGAGGACCUCACGACCAAGUGCUGCGGUGAGUGGAAGAAGAUCAACACGUUGGCGCACUACGGCGUCAAGGAAUCCGCGGUGAUGUCGUUGAUACCCCGGCAGAACGACGGUUUCUCAGUCGCUUGUAAGCCGCCCUGCCACAACUGCAAGCCCUCGCAUUAUCAUCAUCAGCAACAGCAGCAGCAGCAGCAACAACAACAACCAAUUCACCAUCACCACCCGCACCACCAUCACCUACAUCGACACUCGAAUCACUGUUCGUCCACGCAUCUUCCAUCCACGCCCAAUCACGGCUUGAUCAGUCCUGUGAUGUACAAUCAUCCCGUGAGCGGCCUGUAUUACGACUCCCAGCAUUCGCCGCCGAUCAUAACGGCGAACGGCGACGUCGAGAGCGGUCACGGUGGCAAUCAGCGGCUGUACCACUUGGUGAGACCCAUCGAGGAGGUGCACUACCCGCCCGGCUUGGGCUUCACCGGCAGCAGCAAGCACCAUCAUCCCGAGCGCACGCACAAGGCGAUCCCGGAGAUCUUUCUCACGCGACUGCUCUCGACCAAGGGCACUGUACAGAAGUUCGUUGACGAUUUUUUGAACACCAUACUGACCGCCAACGAGGCGCUGCCGAGCGCGGUCAAGUGGCUGUUUGAUCUCUUGGACGAGGCCGCGAAGCAACACGGCAUCGUCGACCCGGAGGUGCCACACGCGUGGAAGUCCAACAGUCUGCCGCUCAGAUUUUGGGUUAAUUUCAUUAAGAAUCCAGACUUCAUGUUCGACAUCAACAAGUCCACGACGGUGGACUCGAGUCUGUCUGUGAUCGCACAGACGUUCAUGGACUCCUGCUCGAUGACGGAGCACAGACUAGGCAAGGACUCGCCGUCUAACAAGCUACUGUUCGCCAAGGACAUACCGCACUAUCGCGAGAAAGUGGGUCGAUUUUACACGGACGUGCAGAGACUGCCGCAGAUCACCGACCAGGAGAUGUCCAGUGCCAUGCAGCAACUGAGCGCGUCACACGCCAACGAGUUCGACGUAAUCGCAGCGCUGAAGGAGCUCUACAUCUAUGUCAGCAAGUAUUACGAACAAAUCCUAGAGGCCUUGGAGACAGAUGCGGGCUGUCGCAAACUACAUCUAGCUCAUAGACUAGAAAAUGUAGCGUGCACGCUCGAGGGAGAAGAGACCAGUGCCUGCUGACAUACCCUCCUCACUUCCAUCCCAGGACCCGUCAACCUCUCCAGAAACACUGACUAGUGCCUCCACUUCAUGCAUCAGAUACACCUCGUUACAUAUGUACAAAUAUACACAUACACACCAUGUGAAUAACAACGCCGUAAAAAUACAUGCGAUUUCGUUAGGGCUAGUCAGGCGAUAGGUCACGGGAUUAGACAGUCCUCGUGGAGUGAAUGCAAAACGGGACGGAUCUUUUUUGCAUUGUCGAUGUGAAAAUAUAGACUGUUCGGUUCAUGCUGAGGAGAAGAAGUGACGAUGAGUUUUGUAUUCGCCGAGGUAUUCUGGCCGAAGUUUAUGUGCUAUUAAUAUUAUUAUUAUUAUUAAUAUCGCAAUAGGUGGUACGUAUCGCAGACACUCGUCGUGGCACAACGACACGCAGUAUUCUUUGAAAUAACUUACAUAUCUUUAGUUAUAAGACUGCAGAAUUUUUUUUAUAACUCAUUUUUAUCUUCUUUUUCUUUUUUUUUUUAUAACAGGACCGUUGGCAACUCAUUUAUGUUGUAUAAAGCCGAUGAACAAAUUUGCGAACAUUUAUGUUCGACGUGCACUGCCGUGGUUUUCCGUGUAUUUUCACGAAUCGUCAAUCUGUUGAGCCAAUAAACUUCUCGCUUGUCGUUCAAUUGAGAAACGACAGCCGAACGGAUAAGUUAUAUAA
rnacentral:misc_RNA from 1 species